rnacentral:lncRNA from 1 species
AACUUUGGAACAAAGGAAAGAGAAAGUAGAAGGGACCAACGAGUCUAUAAACAACAACAGAAACAUAGUUAACAAUGAGAGAGACAAUACCAAAACACAGCAAAGUCAAAACAAGUUGUUUUUUGUGUGUGGAGAAAACAUGAAAGUAACCACGUUUUUGUUGUGAAACAGUUCAAGUGUCAGAAGAAGAAGAAGAUAAAUUGAGG